CAGUAGCCACGGGAAUACGUAGGUGGCAAGCGUUGUCCGGAAUUAUUGGGCGUAAAGGGCUCGCAGGCGGUUUCUUAAGUCUGAUGUGAAAGCCCCCGGCUCAACCGGGGAGGGUCAUUGGAAACUGGGAAACUUGAGUGCAGAAGAGGAGGGUGGAAUUCCACGUGUAGCGGUGAAAUGCGUAGAGAUGUGGAGGAACACCAGUGGCGAAGGCGACUCUCUGGUCUGUAACUGACGCUGAGGAGCGAAAGCGUGGGGAGCGAACAGGAUUAGAUACCCGUGUAGUCCCUGUCUCUUAUAA
rnacentral:rRNA from 1 species